CUUAAGUCUGCGCUUAUGUUGGCCAAGUUAGUAGAUUCAGUUAAGAAAGCUCUCACCUCACAAGUUAAGGGUUUGGAAACUAGGUAUUGGCUAGACAGUAUUACUGCUUUGCAUUGGAUCCAAAACCAUGGAGAAUGGAAGCAGUUUGUAUGCCAUAGAGUAAAUCAAAUUUUAGCAUUGACGAACAAGGGUGAUUGGAGCCAUUGCCCGGGUGUG